AACGAACGCUGGCGGCAGGCCUAACACAUGCAAGUCGAACGGAUCCUUCGGGAUUAGUGGCGGACGGGUGAGUAACACGUGGGAACGUGCCCUUUGGUUCGGAACAACUCAGGGAAACUUGAGCUAAUACCGGAUGUGCCCUUCGGGGGAAAGAUUUAUCGCCAUUGGAGCGGCCCGCGUCUGAUUAGCUAGUUGGUGAGGUAAGGCUCACCAAGGCGACGAUCAGUAGCAGGUCUGAGAGGAUGAUCAGCCACAUUGGGACUGAGACACGGCCCAAACUCCUACGGGAGGCAGCGGUGGGGAAUCUUGCGCAAUGGGCGAAAGCCUGACGCAGCCAUGCCGCGUGAAUGAUGAAGGUCUUAGGAUUGUAAAAUUCUUUCACCGGGGACGAUAAUGACGGUACCCGGAGAAGAAGCCCCGGCUAACUUCGUGCCAGCAGCCGCGGUAAUAC
rnacentral:rRNA from 1 species